rnacentral:rRNA from 1 species
UACGUAGGGGGCAAGCGUUGUCCGGAUUUAUUGGGCGUAAAGAGCGUGUAGGCGGCCAAGCAGGUCCGUUGUGAAAACUGGAGGCUCAACCUCCAGACGUCGACGGAAACCGUAUGGCUAGAGUCCGGAAGAGGAGAGUGGAAUUCCUGGUGUAGCGGUGAAAUGCGCAGAUAUCAGGAAGAACACCAAUGGCGAAGGCAGCUCUCUGGGACGGUACUGACGCUGAGACGCGAAAGCGUGGGGAGCGAACAGG